UUUUGCUCAAAACGACAAAAAUGCUUCCGUUUCCUUCUCCUAUUGAACCCACUGUCGCCUCUGCUCUCCUCUCCACUACCACACCUCUUUCUCCCCCUCCUUCAAAGUACUUACUUGAUCGAUCAAAACUCGCUUUCUUUUUUUAAUUUCUUCUCGGAUUUCAACCAACGAUUUCGUUUUGGUUGUUUUUUGAGGCUCGGUGUUGAUGGAGAGAAGAAAUCUGCGAAAGAGCAGUAGUGAAGAGGAGAGCUUGAGCUUGGUGUCUAGUGGCUCGAAAUCGUGCGCUUCAUAUCUAACAAUUGAUGGAUCGCGGUUUAAGGAGAUUCGAGGUCACAAGCUCAGGAUCGUCGCUUUCGUGUCUCGCUUCCAUGAAACGAAGCUCAAGUUUAUUUUCGUUUAAUUUUUGCAGAUAGCACGAAGGAGGCACUCGAAGGUGAACCGGAGCUCUGGCCACCAGAGGUCCGUCGUGCUAGCUCCGCCGGAGAAGGCAGCUGCGCUGGUGGCGUCUACAGAGUCAGGUUCGUGUUUGUCAAGUGGUUCCAGCGCGGCUUCAAGCAAGCAAAGCCACUUUAUGAAUACGAACGGAUUGAUGAUGAAGCCGGCCGGCUCGUGAUGAUCAGGAGGAGACGAAGAGGAUCAGAUCUGGCUUUGGCUCGCCUUACAUG